rfam:Schistosoma curassoni strain Dakar, Senegal genome assembly, scaffold: SCTD_scaffold0000247
AUCCAGCUGAUGAGUUCCAAACAGGGCGAAGCACGCGUCCUGGAA